UUGCCGGCGACCGGCGCACGGGUGAGUAACGCGUAUCCAACCUUUCGUACACUCAGGGAUAGCCUUUCGAAAGAAAGAUUAAUACCUGAUGGUAUGAUGAGAUUGCAUGAUAGCAUCAUUAAAGAUUCAUCGGUGUACGAUGGGGAUGCGUUCCAUUAGGUAGUAGGCGGGGUAACGGCCCACCUAGCCGACGAUGGAUAGGGGUUCUGAGAGGAAGGUCCCCCACAUUGGAACUGAGACACGGUCCAAACUCCUACGGGAGGCAGCAGUGAGGAAUAUUGGUCAAUGGGCGCAGGCCUGAACCAGCCAAGUAGCGUGAAGGAUGACUGCCCUAUGGGUUGUAAACUUCUUUUAUAAAGGAAUAAAGUCGGGUAUGCAUACCCGUUUGCAUGUACUUUAUGAAUAAGGAUCGGCUAACUCCGUGCCAGCAGCCGCGGUAAUACGGAGGAUCCGAGCGUUAUCCGGAUUUAUUGGGUUUAAAGGGAGCGUAGAUGGAUGUUUAAGUCAGUUGUGAAAGUUUGCGGCUCAACCGUAAAAUUGCAGUUGAUACUGGAUAUCUUGAGUGCAGUUGAGGCAGGCGGAAUUCGUGGUGUAGCGGUGAAAUGCUUAGAUAUCACGAAGAACUCCGAUUG
rnacentral:rRNA from 1 species